UUGACCUCAGAUCAGGUAGGGAUACCCGCUGAACUUAAGCAUAUCAAUAAGCGGAGGA
rnacentral:rRNA from 1 species